rnacentral:rRNA from 1 species
GACGAACGCUGGCGGCGUGCUUAACACAUGCAAGUCGAACGGUGAACUCCGCCUGCGGGGGGAUCAGUGGCGGACGGGCGGGUAACACGCGGGCAAGUAGCCUUCACCUCUGGGAUAAAUACAAGCAAUUGGGGCUAAUUCCGGCUAUGACGGCUCACCGCAUGGAUUGGUGGUGGUGGGAUUUGUCGGCUGGGGAUGGGCGCGCGGCCUAUCAGCUUGUUGGUGGGGUAGUGGCUUACCAAGGAGGCGACGGGUAGCCGGCCUGAGAGGGUGACCGGCCACAUUGGGACUGAGAUACGGCCCAGACUCCUACGGGAGGCAGCAGUGGGGAAUAUUGCGCAAUGGGCGGAAGCCUGACGCAGCGACGCCGCGUGGGGGAUGACGGCCUUCGGGUUGUAAACCGCUUUCGGCAGGGACGAAGCGAGAGUGACGGUACCUGGAGAAGAAGCACCGGCCAACUACGUG